UAUAGGACUUAGCAGAGAGGGCUGCGCUCUAUCACUUGGUUUCCUUCCUUUCAACGAUCACAGCUUCCGUGGAGAUGUUCCAGGCUGGUUUAAGAUUUAGGGAAGGAGCUCAGUGGUUCCUCCUAAUUGUGAGAGGGAUAAACAUGUCACAUCACAGAAAGGAAGUAUUGUGAAGAAGCAGGCAAAGACUCUGAAUAAUCAGAUUUACUUUCUUUUCCUGCAUUGUGCUGUUUAAGACUGCUAAAUGAAGAUAAAUUCUAUUGCAGAAUCCUGAAUUUCACCAUGAAGAGACUGUCGCCCAGCCUUCUCAUCUAGAGAAUUAUUCUCAGGAUCUGCAGACAGGAGAAACAACUAGUCACCACUCAGUUUGAUUCACUAUAUGUUUGAGAAUCCACUUCUAUGUGCGGUGCAGUCAGGUGGAGAGAGGCUAUCAACACAGGCAGCUCUCUUGUCCAAAGAGCCUACCCAGGUGCCACAACUUGGUCUGACUCUGAGGAUGGAUCCAUUUUCUGAAUAAGCAGAAUGGAAUGACAGAAUUUCAAAGGCUAGGAUCUGCAGUCCUGCAGUGAGUUUGAAAACUUAGCGUUCAUUGGGGUCAAUUGCCAUGGUCAUUAUGGCAUGCAGAUGGAAGACUUCUAAAAGGACAUUUCAUUUCAAUAUCAAGCAUUCCUGAAAUUUAAUUUUGAAAAUGAAAUGAGAAGGGAGAAGAAGAAUGGUUCUGAUUCAAAGCAGAAGUGAAUAACAAUAUUGUGACUAUCUAACCCUUUCUCUCUGUAUAUAACAAUUAAGGAAGAUAGUGCAAUGGUAUAUACUGAUUGAAGUGGUGAGGGGAGCUUUGAGACCCUAAUUGUGAUAAGAUGGAACUCCGGCUUAUCUCCUUUGCCUGGAAAUCAUGAAGUCUUGCACAUGUCAAUAACUGCCUGGUUCAGAGCCCAUGGUUGACUAACUUAUGUCCUUAUUUCUCUCACUCACAGACUUGUUUAUUGUAUUGUAUUAUAUUGUAGUUUAAAAGUGGCCAAAAAAACAGCUGUUUGGCAACAGUCCCCCAUCAAUAAGCAUAUUUGGAGCAUCUCCUCUAGCAUGGUACUUGUAUCCCACUGUCCUGUCUUCUCAUAUGUUCUUUGCAGACUUUGAUCCCCUUAAGGAUGUAAAUGCUGCCUUUUCUUUCUGAGUCCUCAGCCCAAAGUCCAGUGUUUGACAUGUAAUAACUAUGUGUUGAAUGAAUGUUGCUGAAAGUCAGAACUAGCUAACAUUUAUUGAGGACUUACUUUGUAGUAAAUAUUUGACUAGUAUUCUCAUUUAAUCCCUACUAAUGUGUCCCUAGACUGUGGUUUUUCUUGUGGUUUUGCAGACAAGGAAACUAAGGCUAAGGGAGAUGAAACAGCUUGCCUAAAAGUCACACAAAUAAAAAUGAUAGAGAUGGAAUUAGAAACUAGGAAUAUCUGAACCUGUGUCUGUCACUUGGUCUUUUAAGGGAUCUGUAUACUCUUUCAGGUGAGAGUGCCUACACCAGCCUUUGGGCAUCAUAUGAUCCCCAGGGAUUGAUCAAGAUAACAGUAGGAGCAUUCUAUUGGGAGGGUAACCAAAUGGAAAAGAAAAACGUCCAGUGUACACAAUCAGAAUUGUCAAGAAGAAGAAGAAGAAGGAGUGGAUAUGAUUACUCAUGGAAUUUGAGAAAGCAAACUUGCUCUCCAGAUACUGUUCUGAACCUGAAUAUCUCCUGAUACUUAUAAUGGCAUCAUGGCCUCCUAUUUUCAGGGGGAAAACUCAUCUAAUACUUAAAUUGUAGUUUUUAGUGCAUGGAUCUCUGAAUAUCAGAAGAUUGCCUUCAAAAUGUUAUUUAGAUGCAUCUUAUGAAAUGGAUAUAUUCUAGGACUAUGUCAGUGUAGUACAAUCUGCUAAAGUAAGUUCUGCAUCACAAUGGCUUUUGGAAAUGUUGAGAUGUGUUCCUGGGAUAUUAGUUUGACUUCCAGAAAAAAAAUUCUCAUUGAAAAGGUUUUCUCCCCACCUAUGAGGAGCUCCAUUCUUUCUUUUAAAUUGACCAGACAUCCUGCCAGUUUGUGUAAGUGUGUGCUUGUGAACCCAUGUGCUUUUAUGUGCAUACGUGAGCUCAGGGGUAGAGCAAGUCAGAGGGAGUGUUGGCAGGAGACAAUAUGGAAAAUGGAAAAUCAUGGCAGACUUCUUUGUGUGCCAAGUUUGAAUAUGAAACCUAUUGCUCCUGAUGAAAACAAAACCAAAAUAAAAUGCUGUGGGUGAAAUAAUUUCUGACAAUGUAGCUACACUCAUAGAUUGUGUAAAAGAAUAGAAAAUUGCAGCUGCCAGUUGUGAAUCGAGUCUUUGGAUUUUUUUUCCCCAUUUUCGUGUGUCACAUAAUACCCCUUAUUUCUGCGUAUCUGAGGGCUAAUAGUAUAAAAUGCUUACCAAUCUGACUCUAUUUUCCUCUUUUUAAUAAAAUUUGGAAUAAAAUUUAUGAUCAUAACAAA
rnacentral:lncRNA from 1 species